CAUUAAAUGGCUGAAAGCAAGCAAUGGUCUCUUAAACCAUAUUAUAGUAAAUUAGCAAUUACUUUUAAUGA
rnacentral:tRNA from 1 species